UUGCUGAAUUUGUUAGCUCUAGCAGUUUGUUGUGGAUUCUUCGGUAUUUUUUAUGUAGAGAGAAUCAUCUGCAAAUACAGAUAGGUUUAUUCUUCUUUUCCAAUUUGGAUGCCUUUUCUUUCCUUGACUAAUUGCUCUGUUCAGAACUUCCAGUACAGUAUUGAGUGGCAGUGUGAAAGUGAGCAUCCUUGCCUCGUUCCUGAUCUUAGGGGGGAAGUCUUUCACCAUUGAGCAUGAUAUUAGUUGUGGAUUUUCCCAUAAAUGCCCUUUAUCAUAUUAAGGAAAUUCCCUUCUAUCCUUAAUAUGCUGAUUGUUUUGAUCAUGAAAGAGUGAGCCCAUUUUUUUCUAAAGUGAAAGUUUGGCUCAAAGUAAUAAAAUGCUGACCUGAAAGAA
rnacentral:sRNA from 1 species